rnacentral:rRNA from 1 species
AACGAACGCUGGCGGCAUGCCUAACACAUGCAAGUCGAACGAGACCUUCGGGUCUAGUGGCGCACGGGUGCGUAACGCGUGGGAACCUGCCCUUAGGUUCGGAAUAACUCCCCGAAAGGGGUGCUAAUACCGGAUAAUGUCUUCGGACCAAAGAUUUAUGGCCUUUGGAUGGGCCCGCGUUGGAUUAGCUAGUUGGUAGGGUAAAAGCCUACCAAGGCGACGAUCCAUAGCUGGUCUGAGAGGAUGAUCAGCCACACUGGGACUGAGACACGGCCCAGACUCCUCCGGGAGGAAGCAGUGGGGAAUGUUGGACAAUGGGCGAAAGCCUGAUCCAGCAAUGCCGCGUGAGUGAUGAAGGCCUUAGGGUUGUAAAGCUCUUUUACCCGGGAUGAUAAUGACAGUACCGGGAGAAUAAGCCCCGGCUAACUCCGUG